rnacentral:rRNA from 1 species
GUAUACAGGUACAAUCCAAUUCCACAUACUCAGACACUUCUGCUCCCAAGUGCUAAGCAGGCCUGGGCCCAGUUAGUACCUGGAUGGGACACUGCCUGGGAAUCCCGGGUGCCGUAGGCC